rnacentral:rRNA from 1 species
CUUUUAUGGAGAGUUUGAUCCUGGCUCAGGACGAACGCUGGCGGCGUGCCUAAUACAUGCAAGUCGAGCGCGGGAAGCAAGCGGAUCCCCUUCGGGGGUGAAGCUUGUGGAACGAGCGGCGGACGGGUGAGUAACACGUGGGCAACCUGCCUGUAAGACCGGAAUAACCCCGGGAAACCGGGGCUAAUGCCGGGUAACACCUACC